rnacentral:lncRNA from 1 species
AUUCCGAUUUUAUAGAUGAACAAAGUAAAGCCCAAAGAGAAUAAAUAACUUGAACAGUGGCAUCUAACAAGCAAGAAUUCUGAAAUCUGAGCCCUCUUGCAUAAAAUGACAUCAGCAUGGAUAGAGCACAGGUGGGAAAAGAGGAAGACAUCAGAUAAGGCUCCACGCCGUGUGGACUCCAGUGUGGGGCUUGAACCCAUGACCUUAAGAGCAAUACCUGAGCUGAGAUCAAGAGCUGGACACAUAGCCAACUGAGCCAUCCAGGU